GCUGAACUUAAGCAUAUCAAUACGAA
rnacentral:rRNA from 2 species